rnacentral:misc_RNA from 1 species
UGUCAAAAGUUCUAAUAAUACCACUCCAAGUCCAUACACAUCGCUCUUUGCUGUCAACACAUUCAGACCAUAGUAUUCCGGAUCAAUGUACCCAACUGUACCAGCAGCCUUCAUUGGCCUGCUGCUGUGAUCGCCCAUUAACGAUAAUCCAAAAUCAGACACUCUUGCAAUCCAGUUUCCAUCAAUCAAGAUGUUGGAUGACUUAAUGUCCCUGUGAAUUAUAGGCGGAACUGCAUAGUUGUGAAGGUAUUCAAUGCCUCGGGCAG